rnacentral:rRNA from 1 species
UACGUAGGGUGCAAGCGUUGUCCGGAAUUAUUGGGCGUAAAGAGCUCGUAGGUGGCCUGUCGCGUCGGCUGUGAAAACCCGGGGCUCAACCCCGGGCCUGCAGCCGAUACGGGCAGACUAGAGUGUGGUAGGGGAGACUGGAAUUCCUGGUGUAGCGGUGGAAUGCGCAGAUAUCAGGAGGAACACCGAUGGCGAAGGCAGGUCUCUGGGCCAUUACUGACACUGAGAAGCGAAAGCAUGGGGAGCGAACAGG